rnacentral:lncRNA from 1 species
AAACCACUAAAAUCAAUCAGUGUCAUAUCAAGUCAUAAAGCUAUUCGUUUAUUGAAAAACGGAUGUCAAGCUUUCUUAGCCCAUGUCACAGAUUUAAAUAAAGAUACGUCAGAUUUGAAUGAUAUUUCUAUUGUUAAUAAAUUUCCUGACGUAUUCCUUGAAGAACUUCCUGGCCUACCCCCAGAGCGUGAAAUUGAAUUUUGUAUCGACC